rnacentral:rRNA from 1 species
GAACGUCGUGAGACAGUUCGGUCCAUAUCCGGUGUAGGCGUUAGAAUAUUGAGAGGAGCCUUCUUUAGUACGAGAGGACCAAGAAGGACACACCGCUGGUGUACCAGUUAUCGUGCCAACGGUAAACGCUGGGUAGCUAUGUGUGGAGUGGAUAACCGCUGAAAGCAUCUAAGCGGGAAGCCGGCCUCAAGAUUAGGUAUCCCGGGCCGCAAGGCCCCUGAAGGCCCCUCGUAGACUACGAGGAGAUAGGCAGGGUGUGGAAGCGUAGAGAUACGUGAAGCUGACCUGUACUAAUCGGCCGUGAGGCUUGACC